rnacentral:lncRNA from 1 species
GCCACUAUCCCAGUACAAACAGAAAAAUCAAGAAAACCCAACAAACCAACCAAAAACAUCUAGAAGGCAAAGGAAGGAAAGAAAAAUAACCCCAAAACCGCAGCAACCAAGAAAACACAUGGAAGCCAAAACUUUCCAAUGCCCAAAGGUAGACCAAGACGCGUAGGACGGUGGAUAGGUCAAGGAUGAAGCAGGUAAAAAAUACAGGGAUACUGAUUCGAAGAACCAUAGAAGGGCAAAGAGCUAAUCGGGAGGGUCGACCCACCACCUAUUAGCAGCAACUGCCGAUUCAACCUCCAGCGGAACCUCCUCUACCCAAAAUUGAUCAUGUGCCCAUCGAAAUCCUAGAGACGCAAGCAGGUGAGCAAUAGUAUUUUGUUCCCCAUAAUAGUGUGUAAUGGUGAGAUCAGUGAAUUCGAUAAGCAGACUAUGUUUACCCUCCCUGAUAAUAGCUGAAAUUUCUGACCUGUCUUUUGUGUUGGAGCAGAGCUUUCGAAUGACAUGCAACGAAUCCCCAUUAAAAACAACUCUUUGCAGGCCGAGGUCAUAAGCAAAAUCCACAAACCAAACAAAAGUCAAUGCUUUUGCAACGAAAGCGGAGAAGACAUGGCGAUGAAGUUGUGUGCAUGCACCCAACACCUGGCCAUGGCAGUCACGCACAACCACACCAAAGCAUGAUGUGCAGUCACAUCCCUUGUACAUAGCAUUGAAGUUUUCCUUUACCAAAGGCUCAAUCGUAGGGUGCCACUGCUCGGCAAGCGAACCUACUAAAACCCCAGCAGUCAUAUCGAGGGUAGACAGAUCUUGGAGAUGCGAACGAAUAAAUGAGAUGACCUCCAAAGAAGUAUGGUGAAGCCCAUCAUGGUGCCCACAGUUCCUCCUCAUCUAGAGAACCCAAAUCGUAGUAAGUAUCAACUCUAUCAAGUCUCCAGAAUAAGUUGUAAAUAGGAAUCGAGCUAGCUAACAAAAUCGGCAUCGUCGUAUGACACAGGCCAAGUAAUUCGCAGGUUUUCCCACACCGAAGCUGCUAAAGGGUAAUCCCGUAUGACAUGGAAGUCAUCUCAAGUACGGUUCUACAUUUAGGAUAAUACUGAGUUGGAUAAAUGCACUUGUUGUACAGGUUAAAGAAAGUAGGGACAUAGUUUUGGAAGAAACGCCAAGUUGUAAUCUGCACUUUAGGUGGGACUCUAGCCUUCCACAAGGUUGUAUACAGAUCCCUAGAACACGUAGGAGGGUUGCGGGUAGUAUGGGAAUAGGUCAAAUGUGUAGACGGUAGGAGCAUUUUGUUACCACUACGGACUGUAUAGCAACCCGUAGGAUCCCCCUUCCAAACAAGCAUGUCAUCACUAGCCAAGCGUGAAAAAGGAAUACUCAAGAUCCGACUAGCUUCAUUUUCAGAAAUCAUGGAUCGUACCAAGGUGAAUUCCAUUGAGCC